CAGAGGCUCCUGGACUACGCUGACGUUCACGUGCCCCAGGUUUCCGUACUUGGAGAGCUGAGUGGGUGGAAUGCCUGACCCAGAAGGUCUGUGCGAUCUGAGCUGGAGGAAAAAGGACUUGGAGACAGCGAUUUAAAUAAGGAACAAGGUCUUCCAGGAAGACAGUGCAAAACUGGAUAAAGAGCUCUUGCUCCCCACUGCUGAAGGCAGCCUCUUCUGCACGAUGGAAGGCCAGGAUUACUUUAGUUACCUAGGAGAAAAGGGCACCGCCAAUUACCUGUUAAUCUAUCCCCAUCAGCAGUGACAAACAUGUGCAGCCCUCAAGUUUUCCAAAAGAACAGUCCUUCCAAACAGUACAUCAUUAUCUUGUUUAAAUUCACAACUGUGGUCAGUCUUCACAAUUCUGUCACUUCAAUGAUAUAUUCCUUACUCAACUAGUUUUAUUAUUGGUGCAGUUUCCAAUUCCAGUGCAGGAGCAUCAUGAAAUACACAGAAUACAUCAUUUUUGGCUCCCAUGGGAGAUGGACUAGAACUCUGAUGGAUCCAGGAAAAUACCAGCAAUACCAUAAAAGGUUUUACUGAGUAAGGCCUCUGAAGUUCCAAAAUGCUAGAACCACUAGAAAAUUGUAAAGGAGGAGGAAAACAGAGCUGGAAAAGAACAUACAUUAUUUCCACAUACAAAUAACAGGGCAAGCCUAGCUAACAUUACAGACAGGUGUCACGGUGACAGGGAUAAGAACAGAGACUCUGGGAAACUGCCUGGUGGUUCAGUGGUUAGAAAUCUGUGCUUUCAUUGCCGAGGGCCUGGGUUCAAUCCCUGGUCACAAGCUGCAAUGUACCGCCAAACAAACAAGUAAAUAACAAAGAGCCUCUGGUGCUAAAUGUUCUGGGCUCUAGUUCAAGCUGUGCACUCAGUGCUUCUGUGGCCUCUAAGUGAUUACUUAGCCCUCUGUGUCUGACAGUUCACUCAUCUAUAAAGCAGAGCCAGCAGAAGGACCUAACCUCAUAGAAUUGUGAGGAUAAAGGCUGAAUAUGUAUAAAGUGUGAUGAACUAUGUGACAUGAGGAGGACAUCAACAGAAAGACUCGAUACAAGCACGUCACAACUGCCGCCUGGUUGACAGGGACUAUAGGAUGCCAUCAAUUGUAAGAAUCUAAAGAUGUAAUGUUUAAAAACAUGCACCAUACUCAGAAAUUAGUAGGAUCAGUAGUGUUCCUUAUAUUAGAUAGAAUUCUAAGAUGGCUCUUGUGAUCCCCACCUCCUGGUACCCACUCCUUUGUGUUUCCUCCUCCUCCUUGAGCGCAGGCAGAACCAAAAGGAUAUGGCAAAGGUGAAGGAUUCUGCAGUUUUCAUUAACAUCCCAAAUCGGCUGACUGUGAAUUAAUGAAAAAGGAAGUUAUCCUGGGUGGGCCUGACUUAAUUAGAUGAAUCUCUUAAAAAGAGGGCUGAGGAAGAGACUCAAGGAGGAGAGAUGCUCUCCCACUGGCCCUGAAGAAUCAAAGCUGUGAGCUGCUCAUGGAGUGAGGUGGUCUCCAGGAGUUGAGGGCCUCAGUCCUACACUGUAAGGAACAGGAAUAUGCCACUGUGAAUGAACCUGAAAGGAGGGGAUCCCGAGCCCCAGAUGAGCCCACAGUCGGGCCAACACCUCGAUUACAACCUUGUGAGCAGAAGCUCAACCCAGUUAUACUGUGCCUGGACUCCUGACCCACAGAAACUGAGACAUGAUAAAUAUGUGUUGUUUUAAGCUGCUAUGUUUGUGUGAGUUUGUCAUGCAGCAACAGAAAACCAAUACAUCACUGAAAAAUUACUACAGGUGAGCCACUUCAUGAAGGAGGACUAACCAGACCUUUUCAACUAGAAAAACCUCUAAAACCACACUAAACCUAAGUCAGCAGGCACCCUGUCACACAGACUGGUGUAUUACAAAAGUCUCGCCACCUGUAACAAAAGGAGCACCCUGCUACCGCCCCCCGCAAAAAGAAAGGAGGCCCCAGUAGAGAGCCAA